AACCGAUAGUAAUAGCAAAUUUACAACCCGUUUUUUUCAUGAGCGCAUGUAUAAAAAAUCGAUUGCUACUGAUUAUCACAUCAAUCACCGCAGCUUCCUGCACAUGGAGCUAAUUUAGUACUAGUAAAGGUUGAUGUAAGGUUAUGCGUUAUCAAAAUUUCGGAACAUCCAGGUAAAGGUGAAACACAUCCGGGGGUAGGACGAGGAAAGCACCUGAAUUCUGUCAAAAGAGGAUACGCGGUAGCGCAUCAAGAUAUGCACCGGAAAGGAACAAUCUUGCACCCUCAUGGAGAAAAACUGGCUAAAUUAGAGUAAUACCUAAAUUUAUUCUCUCCAGGUGCUAUACUGUUCCUGUUGCCAUGCAUUUGCGGGUGCUCAUGUAUUCCCGCUCCCUCCUAUCACAGCUUCGAGGACCUACCUUAACAAGUCCCAACACAGAUGAAGCUUAAAUGAUAAUCGAUGCAAUAAAAAGUCGAAAGCCACCAGGCUUAACUGGUCUGAUUUAUA